UUAAGCGACUAAGCGUACACGGUGGAUGCCCUGGCAGUCAGAGGCGAUGAAGGACGUGCUAAUCUGCGAAAAGCGCCGGCGAGGUGAUAUGAACCCUUGACCCGGCGAUGUCCGAAUGGGGAAACCCAGUGCAAUCCGUUGCACUAUCGUUAACUGAAUACAUAGGUUAACGAGGCGAACCGGGGGAACUGAAACAUCUAAGUACCCCGAGGAAAAGAAAUCAACCGAGAUUCCCCCAGUAGCGGCGAGCGAACGGGGAGCAGCCCGGAGUCUGAAUCAGCUUGUGUGUUAGUGGAACGGUCUGGAAAGUCCGACGGUACAGGGUGAUAGUCCCGUACACGAAAGCACACUUGCUGUGAACUCGAAGAGUAGGGCGGGACACGUGGUAUCCUGUCUGAAUAUGGGGGGACCAUCCUCCAAGGCUAAAUACUCCUGACUGACCGAUAGUGAACCAGUACCGUGAGGGAAAGGCGAAAAGAACCCCGGCGAGGGGAGUGAAAAAGAACCUGAAACCGUGUACGUACAAGCAGUGGGAGCCUCUUUAUGGGGUGACUGCGUACCUUUUGUAUAAUGGGUCAGCGACUUAUAUUCUGUAGCAAGGUUAACCGUAUAGGGGAGCCGAAGGGAAACCGAGUCUUAACUGGGCGUUAAGUUGCAGGGUAUAGACCCGAAACCCGGUGAUCUAGCCAUGGGCAGGUUGAAGGUUGGGUAACACUAACUGGAGGACCGAACCGACUAAUGUUGAAAAAUUAGCGGAUGACCUGUGGCUGGGGGUGAAAGGCCAAUCAAACCGGGAGAUAGCUGGUUCUCCCCGAAAGCUAUUUAGGUAGCGCCUCGUGAACUCAUCUUCGGGGGUAGAGCACUGUUUCGGCUAGGGGGCCAUCCCGGCUUACCAACCCGAUGCAAACUACGAAUACCGAAGAAUGUUAUCACGGGAGACACACGGCGGGUGCUAACGUCCGUCGUGAAGAGGGAAACAACCCAGACCGCCAGCUAAGGUCCCAAAGUCAUGGUUAAGUGGGAAACGAUGUGGGAAGGCACAGACAGCCAGGAUGUUGGCUUAGAAGCAGCCAUCAUUUAAAGAAAGCGUAAUAGCUCACUGGUCGAGUCGGCCUGCGCGGAAGAUGUAACGGGGCUAAACCAUGCACCGAAGCUGCGGCAGCGACACUAUGUGUUGUUGGGUAGGGGAGCGUUCUGUAAGCCGUUGAAGGUGUGCUGUGAGGCAUGCUGGAGGUAUCAGAAGUGCGAAUGCUGACAUAAGUAACGAUAAAGCGGGUGAAAAGCCCGCUCGCCGGAAGACCAAGGGUUCCUGUCCAACGUUAAUCGGGGCAGGGUGAGUCGACCCCUAAGGCGAGGCCGAAAGGCGUAGUCGAUGGGAAACAGGUUAAUAUUCCUGUACUUGGUGUUACUGCGAAGGGGGGACGGAGAAGGCUAUGUCAGCCGGGCGACGGUUGUCCCGGUUUAAGCAUGUAGGCGGAGGUUCCAGGUAAAUCCGGUACCUUGUUAACGCUGAGGUGUGAUGACGAGGCACUACGGUGCUGAAGUGAUAAAUGCCCUGCUUCCAGGAAAAGCCUCUAAGCAUCAGGUAACACGAAAUCGUACCCCAAACCGACACAGGUGGUCAGGUAGAGAAUACCAAGGCGCUUGAGAGAACUCGGGUGAAGGAACUAGGCAAAAUGGUGCCGUAACUUCGGGAGAAGGCACGCUGAUGUGUAGGUGAAGCCCCUGCGGGCGGAGCUGAAAUCAGUCGAAGAUACCAGCUGGCUGCAACUGUUUAUUAAAAACACAGCACUGUGCAAACACGAAAGUGGACGUAUACGGUGUGACGCCUGCCCGGUGCCGGAAGGUUAAUUGAUGGGGUUAGCGGCAACGCGAAGCUCUUGAUCGAAGCCCCGGUAAACGGCGGCCGUAACUAUAACGGUCCUAAGGUAGCGAAAUUCCUUGUCGGGUAAGUUCCGACCUGCACGAAUGGCGUAAUGAUGGCCAGGCUGUCUCCACCCGAGACUCAGUGAAAUUGAACUCGCUGUGAAGAUGCAGUGUACCCGCGGCAAGACGGAAAGACCCCGUGAACCUUUACUAUAGCUUGACACUGAACACUGGUCCUUGAUGUGUAGGAUAGGUGGGAGGCUUUGAAGCGUGGACGCCAGUCUGCGUGGAGCCAACCUUGAAAUACCACCCUUUAAUGGCUGGUGUUCUAACGUAGACCCGUAAUCCGGGUUGCGGACAGUGUCUGGUGGGUAGUUUGACUGGGGCGGUCUCCUCCCAAAGAGUAACGGAGGAGCACGAAGGUUGGCUAAUCCUGGUCGGACAUCAGGAGGUUAGUGCAAUGGCAUAAGCCAGCUUGACUGCGAGCGUGACGGCGCGAGCAGGUGCGAAAGCAGGUCAUAGUGAUCCGGUGGUUCUGAAUGGAAGGGCCAUCGCUCAACGGAUAAAAGGUACUCCGGGGAUAACAGGCUGAUACCGCCCAAGAGUUCAUAUCGACGGCGGUGUUUGGCACCUCGAUGUCGGCUCAUCACAUCCUGGGGCUGAAGUAGGUCCCAAGGGUAUGGCUGUUCGCCAUUUAAAGUGGUACGCGAGCUGGGUUUAGAACGUCGUGAGACAGUUCGGUCCCUAUCUGCCGUGGGCGCUGGAGAAUUGAGGGGGGCUGCUCCUAGUACGAGAGGACCGGAGUGGACGCAUCACUGGUGUUCGGGUUGUCAUGCCAAUGGCACUGCCCGGUAGCUAAAUGCGGAAGAGAUAAGUGCUGAAAGCAUCUAAGCACGAAACUUGCCCCGAGAUGAGUUCUCCCUGAGACUUUAAGUCUCCUGAAGGAACGUUGAAGACGACGACGUUGAUAGGUCGGGUGUGUAAGCGCAGCGAUGCGUUGAGCUAACCGAUACUAAUGAACCGUGAGGCUUAACCUU
rnacentral:rRNA from 2 species